rnacentral:lncRNA from 1 species
GUUUCUGUUCAGUUCAAGUCAUUGAGUUAGUUACUUCAGUUCGUUAUUUCUUUAUUCUUUUAUUGGUUUCGUCAAUUACGUUGAUUCAGAUAUAUUCAUUACGUUGAUUCAGAUAUAUUCCAUUCAAAUCUUUGGAUAUUAUAUUUUCGUUCGUAUUUGCACUUGAGGCUUUGUUCAGUAUUUUGUCUCAGUUAUUUUCGUAUAUCAGUUGUAUAUCUUUUGUAUAUCUGUAUCCGUACUGGGCAAUUGGCUCAUGCUGUGUUUUUCUUCCGGCAGGUUUGCAGGGGUGAUUCAGGGCUAGUGUGAUGAGAGAGUUGUCUUUGACCAUCUAGGCGGUUUUGAUUAUUUUUUUUGAUUAUUUUGAUUCUAGUUGGAGAAUUAUAUUUAGUACUUCAUUGAUGGAUAUCGUUAUUAAUAUUUUGAAGUUAUUAGUGCUCUGUUUAUUUAUUUUGAGGUUUGUUGUGCUUUGUACGUGACCUCCCUUUCCUU